GCAUCCAUGGCUGAAUGGUUAAAGCGCCCNUGUAGGUUCAAUUCCUAUUGGAUGCA
rnacentral:tRNA from 1 species